GCCAAAUUGCAAAUUUGGUUCUGAGUUUUCUCCUAGGCCU
rnacentral:tRNA from 1 species